rnacentral:rRNA from 1 species
CCUACGGGAGUCAGCAGUGAGGAAUAUUGGUCAAUGGCGGCAAGGCUGAACCAGCCAAGUCGCGUGAAGGAAGAAGGGUCUAUGGAUUGUAAACUUCUUUUAUGGGGGAAUAAAGUGAGGCACGUGUGGGUAUUUGCAUGUACCCAAUGAAUAAGCACCGGCUAACUCCGUGCCAGCAGCCGCGGUAAUACGGAGGGUGCGAGCGUUAUCCGGAUUUACUGGGGUUAAAGGGGGCGCAGGUGGACUUUUAAGUCAGAUGUGAAAUGUUGUGGCUCAACCAUAGAAUUGCCGUUGAAACUGGGAGUCUUGAGUGUGUUUGAGGUAGGCGGAAUUCGUGGUGUAGCGGUGAAAUGCAUAGAUAUCACGAAGAACUCCGAUUGCGAAGGCAGCCUACU